UCUUACGGCCAUACCACCCUGAGCGCGCCCGAUCUCGUCUGAUCUCGGAAGCUAAGCAGGGUCGGGCCUGGUUAGUACUUGGAUGGGAGACCGCCUGGGAAUACCAGGUGCUGCAAGCU
ensembl:rRNA 5S_rRNA 5S ribosomal RNA